AUGUUCCUGGUGCUCCUCCCAGUGCUGGGGAUAAACUUUCUCCUGAGAGAUGGCCAAGCUCAGUCAGUGACUCAACCUGAUGUUCGUGUCACUGUCUCUGAAGAAGCCACUCUGCAGCUGAGAUGCAAGUAUUCCUCCUCUGUGCCACCUUCCCUGUUCUGGUAUGUCCAGUACCCACAGCAGGGGCUGCAGCUGCUCCUCAAGUACUAUUCCGGAGACCCCGUGGUUCAAGGAGUGAACGGCUUUGAGGCUGAGUUCAACAAGAGUGACUCUUCCUUCCACCUGAGGAAAGCCUCUGUGCACUGGAGCGACUCGGCUGUGUACUUCUGUGCUCUGAGCGCACAGUGUCUGGGGCUGUAG